rnacentral:rRNA from 1 species
GACGAACGCUGGCGGCGUGCCUAAUACAUGCAAGUCGAGCGCAGGAAGCCGUCUGAACCCUUCGGGGGGACGACGGUGGAAUGAGCGGCGGACGGGUGAGUAACACGUAAAGAACCUGCCCAUAGGUCUGGGAUAACCACGAGAAAUCGGGGCUAAUACCGGAUGUGUCAUCGGACCGCAUGGUCCGAUGAUGAAAGGCGCUUCGGCGUCGCCCAUGGAUGGCUUUGCGGUGCAUUAGCUAGUUGGUGGGGUAACGGCCCACCAAGGCGACGAUGCAUGGCCGACCUGAGAGGGUGAUCGGCCACACUGGGACUGAGACACGGCCCAGACUCCUACGGGAGGCAGCAGUAGGGAAUCUUCCACAAUGGACGAAAGUCUGAUGGAGCAACGCCGCGUGAACGAUGAAGGCUUUCGGGUCGUAAAGUUCUGUUGUAAGGGAAGAACAAGUGCCGCAGGCAAUGGCGGCACCUUGACGGUACCUUGCGAGAAAGCCACGGCUAACUACGUGCCAGCCGCCGCAGUAAUAC